AUUUUCUAAAUACCCCCCCCGUAUAUUCAAUUUCCAAUUGAAAAGUAAAAGAAAAUA
rnacentral:tRNA from 1 species